GUUUUGCUGCAAAAUGACACCUCAACCGAUUCUGUAAGCUUUCUGAUUAAAUUUCUAUACACUUUCAAAGUUGUAAAGUCCUUUUUGAAUCACCUGGUAGAAUGCAGAUACAAUCCAUUUCUAGCAGCAACAACAGUGCAAGAAGGGCUCCAAUAGCAAUUUCGUUACCUGCGUAGAAUAUAAGAGAUUUCCAGAUAGAAACUACAUAUCUCAUUGUGCAGACUCCAGACUGGCCCCAGUCCAAUAGAAAUUGUUGGUAUCUACGAGCAGAAACAAACCAGCUAUGCCCAGCCAUAAAUAGGAAUCCAACUUGGCAGACAAUGACCGAAGAAGGCAUACAACCCUCUCAACCAGCACAAGGAAACCCAGCCAAUUCUCGCUACCAGCCGUGAUUAGCUCGUCUCCCAAGAUCGCCUGUUACAGUCCUGGUUUUAAUAACCAAUAUCCAAAGACAGAAGGGAAAUUUUUGUUUAUGUUUAGUUAGGUCAGGCCGCUUAUGUUAAACUAGAUUAGACUAGUGACGUUCAUCGCUUGUCAGAGUCGACAAAGAAAACAACCAGCCGAUGGUCCAACUGGUCGACUGAACAACCAGUCGAUUACAAAGCUGACUAACAGCCCGACCAAUUAAACAAGAAACAACCACCAUCCGAGGGGCUGACCGACGAAGGAACCGAAAGAACUGUUGUUUGGUUGCUUAUUCGUGAUUAAGUACGUCUCCUGUUCAGAGAAUCGGCAAUGGAAUGUAGUAAAUACAUGUUUGUGCGUAUGUAUGUUCGCAAGCUUAUACAAGAUGGCGCACGGAAUGAUACCCGAUUCAAAUUUCAUGUUUUUAUGGAUUAUAUGCUCAAUAUUACCACCGUUCAGUCGUGUAACAUUUGAAACCCAAACGGCUACUUCGCGAUCACUCGACGGCCCAUAUCCUUUGUAAUUUUACCACAUAUUUGGACAAUCAAAACCCUGUGAUGCAUUAUUGAAGCAGUUUCUUCUGUGUAGAAUUUGAGGUUUUCAAGGCGGUGAGUCUGAAGAUGGUUUUCUUCUGCUCUGAAACAGUUUGAUUCUUGAGGUAACCCCAGAGGAAGAAGUCGCAUAGGCUUACGCCCGGGUCAAUUAUGCCCACUUUCAUGGCAGCUGAGUAUCGGCAAGGAAUCACACGUGGGCAGAAAGUGUGUGUGAAGUCCAAGACAAAGUGUGCUCUGUGUGGUAUAGAUCCAAUCUUGCAUGAACCACUGUGCAUGUAACGGCUAAUCAGGGUGGCACACAAAUGACACCCUAUUUGUUUUAAAUAUGUGCCGUAGCCGUUCAUAUUUCGGAAGUAACAGGACAUUGCGCAUAUAAUCUAUUAAGGUUAAGUUUCCAUGAUUUGUUGUUUGUUUGUAGGUACAUAUGCACUAUUACAUGAAUAUUAAACCUUUUAUUUAAUCUUU